UACGUAGGCAGCGAGCGUUGUUCGGAAUUACUGGGCGUAAAGAGUGUGUAGGCGGUGCUCUAAGUUCGGUGUGAAAUCUCCUGGCUCAACUGGGAGGGUGCGCCGGAAACUGGAGUGCUUGAGCGUGGGAGAGGAAAGCGGAAUUCCUGGUGUAGCGGUGAAAUGCGUAGAUAUCAGGAGGAACACCAGUGGCGAAGGCGGCGACCUGGACGGACAUUGACGCUGAGACGCGAAAGCGUGGGGAGCAAACAGG
rnacentral:rRNA from 1 species